AUGAACGCUGGCGGCGUGUCUUAGGCAUGCAAGUCGAACGGACAUUUGUAGCAAUAUGAAUGUUAGUGGCAAACGGGUGCGUAACACAUUGGCAACCUACCUCAAAGUUCAGAACAACUCCUCGAAAGGGGAGCUAAUACUGGAUGUGAUUCCGGUCCGCAAGGACCGGAAGGAACGGCGCAAGCCGCUUUGAGAGGGGCCUAUGGUCCAUCAGGUAGUUGGUAGGGUAACGGCCUACCAAGCCUACGACGGAUAGCGGGAUUGAGAGAUCGACCCGCCUCACUGGGACUGAGACACUGCCCAGACUUCUACGGAAGGCUGCAGUCGAGAAUCUUCCCCAAUGGCCGAAAGGCUGAGGGAGCGACGCCGCGUGCAGGAUGAAGCCCUUCGGGGUGUAAACUGCUUUUCUUUGGGAACAACUCUGAGUGUACCGAAGGAAUAAGGGGCUGCUAACUUCGU
rnacentral:rRNA from 1 species